UACGUAGGGGGGCAAGCGUUGUCCGGAUUUAUUGGGCGUAAAGAGCGUGUAGGCGGCCUGGAAGGUCAGCUGUGAAAACUCGAGGCUCAACCUCGAGACGUCGGUUGAAACUACCUGGCUAGAGUCCGGAAGAGGAGAGUGGAAUUCCCGGUGUAGCGGUGAAAUGCGCAGAUAUCGGGAAGAACACCCGUGGCGAAGGCGGCUCUCUGGGACGGUACUGACGCUGAGACGCGAAAAGCGUGGGGGAGCGAACAGG
rnacentral:rRNA from 1 species